CUGACCUUUCUUCAAGUCAAGUCACAUUUAUUUAUAUAGCACAUUUAAAAAACAACUCUCGUUGAACAAAGUGCUUUACAAUUGUUAUAAGAAUAUUAUACAUAAGCAAGCUACAUACAUAUAUACAAAUAGCCCUUGCUC